rnacentral:rRNA from 1 species
UACGUAGGGGCAAGCGUUGUCCGGAUUUAUUGGGCGUAAAGCGCGUGUAGGCGGCUAGGUAGGUCCGCUGUGAAAACCCGAGGCUCAACCUCGGGACGUCGGCGGAAACCAUUUGGCUAGAGUCCGGAAGAGGAGAGUGGAAUUCCCGGUGUAGCAGUGAAAUGCGUAGAUAUCGAGAGGAACACCAGUGGCGAAGGCGAGUCCCUGGACAACUCCUGACGCUGAGGCACGAAAGCUAGGGGAGCAAACAGG